GACGGAGGAGGCAAGCGUUAUCCGGAAUUAUUGGGCGUAAAGCGUCCGUAGGUGGUUAAUCAAGUCUUUUGUUAAAGGUUGGAGCUUAACUCUGAUUAGGCGGAAGAAACUGAUUGACUUGAGGAUGGUAGGGGUAGAGGGAAUUCCAGGUGUAGCGGUGAAAUGCGUAGAUAUCUGGAAGAACACCAGUGGCGAAGGCGCUCUACUGGGCCAUUACUGACACUGAGGGACGAAAGCUAGGGGAGCGAAAGGG
rnacentral:rRNA from 1 species